GGCUGCAGACGCCUGUCCCGCCACGGAAACGUCGGUGAGUGACGGGGUGUCUCGGUCAUCCUUCUAGAGGUUGUCGUCGAUCUUCACUGACCGAUGGCAGUUAGCUUCUAGAUCGUUUACUUUGAAAAAAUUAGAGUGUUUCAAGCAGGCUGUGUCGCUAUGAAUACAUUAGCAUGGAAUAAUAAGCUAGGACUUUGGUUCUAUUUUGUUGGUUUCUAGGACCGAAGUA
rnacentral:rRNA from 1 species